rnacentral:rRNA from 1 species
ACGGAGGUGCGAGCGUUAAUCGGAAUUACUGGGCGUAAAGCGCAUGCAGGCGGCCUGUUAAGUCAGAUGUGAAAGCCCGGGGCUUAACCUCGGAAUUGCAUUUGAAACUGGCAGGCUAGAGUCUUGUAGAGGGGGGUAGGAAUUUCAGGUGUAGCGGUGAAAUGCGUAGAGAUCUGAAGGAAUACCAGUGGCGAAGGCGGCCCCCUGGACAAAGACUGACGCUCAGAUGCGAAAGCGUGGGGAGCAAACAGGAUUAGAUACCCUGGUAG